CCUACGGGAGGCAGCAGUGAGGAAUAUUGGUCAAUGGACGCAAGUCUGAACCAGCCAUGCCGCGUGCAGGAAGACGGCCCUAUGAGUUGUAAACUGCUUUUGUACGAGGGUAAACGCAGAUACGCGUAUCUGUCUGAAUGUAUCGUACGAAUAAGGAUCGGCUAACCCCGUGCCAGCAGCCGCGGUAAUACGGAGGAUUCAAGCGUUAUCCGGAUUUAUUGGGUUUAAAGGGUGCGUAGGCGGUCGGAUAAGUUAGAGGUGAAAUCCCGAGGCUCAACUUCGGAAUUGCCUCUGAUACUGGUAGGCUAGAGAGUAGUUGCGGUAGGCGGAAUGUAUGGUGUAGCGGUGAAAUGCUUAGAGAUCAUACAGAACACCGGUUGCGAAGGCAGCUUACCAAGCUACAUCUGACGUUGAGGAACGAAAGCGUGGGGAGCAAACAGGAUUAGAUACCCGGGUAGUC
rnacentral:rRNA from 1 species